rnacentral:rRNA from 1 species
GCCAGACCUGACUGCUAUCGGAUUGAUACUAAGCCAUGCGAGUCGUUGUAGCAAUACAAGGCAUACGGCUCAGUAACGCGUAGUCAACCUAACCUAUGGACGGGAAUAACCUCGGGAAACUGAGAAUAAUGCCCGAUAGAACAUUAUGCCUGGAAUGGUUUAUGUUCCAAAUGAUUUAUCGCCAUAGGAUGGGACUGCGGCCUAUCAGUUUGUUGGUGAGGUAAUGGCCCACCAAGACUAUUACAGGUACGGGCUCUGAGAGGAGUAGCCCGGAGAUGGGUACUGAGACACGGACCCAGGCCCUAUGGGGCGCAGCAGGCGAGAAAACUUUGCAAUGUGCGAAAGCACGACAAGGUUAAUCCGAGUGAUUUCUGCUAAAGAGAUCUUUUGUUAGUCCUAGAAACACUAACGAAUAAGGGGUGGGCAAGUUCUGGUGUCAGCCGCCGCGGUAAAACCAGCACCUCAAGUGGUCAGGAUGAUUAUUGGGCCUAAAGCAUCCGUAGCCGGCUCUGUAAGUUUUCGGUUAAAUCUGUACGCUCAACGUACAGGCUGCCGGGAAUACUGCAGAACUAGGGAGUGGGAGAGGUAGACGGUACUCGGUAGGAAGUGGUAAAAUGCUUUGAUCUAUCGAUGACCACCUGUGGUGAAGGCGGUCUACCAGAACACGUCCGACGGUGAGGGAUGAAAGCUGGGGGAGCAAACCGGAUUAGAUACCCGGGUAGUCCCAGCUGUAAACUAUGCAAACUCAGUGAUGCAUUGGCUUGUGGCCAAUGCAGUGCUGCAGGGAAGCCGUUAAGUUUGCCGCCUGGGAAGUACGUACGCAAGUAUGAAACUUAAAGGAAUUGGCGGGGGAGCACCACAAGGGGUGAAGCCUGCGGUUCAAUUGGAUUCAACGCCGGGG